rnacentral:lncRNA from 1 species
ACUUCCUCUGCCUCCUUGCUUCUUCUCUGAACCCCGACCACUGUUGCUUCUUCUCUCUUCCCUGCUGCUGCACCAUCUCUCUCUUCUUCCCCCAAACUCUGCUGCUGCCUCUUCUUUUCCUCUGCUGAACUGCCGCUGCUUCUCUCUCUUGCUGCACCUUCUCCCCAGCGCCCUCUUGCUGCUCCUCACUUGCUGAAGUUCUACUCCGAACCUCUUCCUCUUGUGUGUGUGUGUGUGUAAUUUUGUGAACUAUUAGUGUUGAGACUUGAUCAACUAUAUUUUGUACUAGUGCAAUAUUUGUGCCCUGUUCGUUAGUUAUUGGUUGGUAAAACUUCAGAUCACUUCUUGAGAAUUAUGUGUUGAACUUGAAGGAUGGUUGAUAGCUCUAGUACAUGUGAUUUUUAUAUUGUCUCAAUUUCUUGUGGUAAAUGUGCUUGUGAUGUGAAACAUCUCUAUUCUGUAGUAUAAUCUUCUUUCUUCUCUGUUAACUAGUAAUCACUAGCUCUUGUGUACUGCUUGUUGCAGAUUCUUUUUCCUUUCUUUGUCCAUGUGUUAGCUCAUGCAUCUGUGCUAUAUAAAUACAUGUGUGUUUUGUGACGUAAACCAUGUCAGCUAGUUCACUGAAACAAAUUCAUGUUACUACUUGUGAUUUUAUUUUCUGUUGAGAUUGAUCUUUGUGAAGUCAGAUGUGUGAUUGUGUUUUAUCUCUAGUUAACAUAUUAGCUAGGUACCAGUGAUAUAAAUGCCUCUUCCUUCUCUUAUAUAUGUCUGCUAGAUAUAUUUGUGAUCUUCUCAUGUUACUUUCUUUCUGUCGAUGAUGAUGUCCCGUGUCAGUAUUUAGUUUCUAAAAUAAUAUGAAAAUACCAAAAAGAUAAAGUGAAGAUAAUCUUCAUCUCCCUUUGGUUCUUUGUUUAUUAUCCUUGUUAAUGUUAGGUUUAUUUUCUGUUCCCAUCACCCGAAGUGUAUUACCUAGCUUUAGCCGAAUAUUGUCGUUGAUCGCCUAGUCCCUGAGGAGAACACGACACUCGCAGUUUGGGGCGUAAAAACCCCACUAUACUUUCAAUCGAUCAUUUUGGUGCCGUUGCCGGGGACUAGCGUCGAGCGAUUGUGUUAUGCUAUAGACCAGGUUUUUCUUGUUUUCCUUUUGUGACAUUUAUAUGUGAUAUGUAUCUAACCCCUAACCACUGCUCUAGUUAUUUUCUGUUCCUUUUCUUGUUUGUUUUGUAGGUUGGAUUGUCUUCUUGGAAAUGGCGUUCAACUCAGACCAUCAUGCUUAUGUGAGCAAUAGCACGGAAAGUGUUCAAGACUUGAUAAGUAAGAUUUCCCAUCAGUUAGAUGAUUUAGCUCGGUAGCGAGGUAUAGUUUUUGAGGAUAUGCCUAGCUCUUAUGAUGCUUAUUCUAGAGGCCAUCCUUAUGUUGCUCCUACAUGCCAUAUUUGUGGAUUUCAGGGCCAUUCACCCGCUGAAUGUCAGCGUGGUUACUCUCAUCCUCCGGAUUGUUUUGGUAUGAACUUUGCUCAACAGCAUGGCUCAUGCCAAAACAAUUACUCAUAUGGGUGGCCUGGAAACCAUAAUAUGUCAUAUAGGAACAGCAACCCUGAGAUCUCAUCGUUUGCCUCUAGUUAUCCAAUGCAGGGAUUUAGGUAUGAAGAGGAGAGCCACAACUAUGCUCCACAACAGUCUUAUUCAGCUCCUAUUCAUAUACCUCAGCACCAGGAGAUGUUGCCAAUGGAGUUAAAUGGUCCUCCAUUUGGUUAACCAACACCUUCAACACAAGUACCUACUCAAGAUGAGUUCGAUGACAUAGACAAGCUCGCACUUUUGAGUCUCGAGUUCACUUGGAGUGCCGAGGAUGAUCCUAUUAGGAAGGUUAUACUAGAUGAAAUGAAGAAGAUCAAGAGUGGGAAUGAGCUAGUGGAAGAAGUAAAGAAGAUUGAGAAGAACAUCAACGCUGGCAGUACUAUUUCUUCAUAGCUUGAGCUGAGUAAUUCUGGGAUUCCCCUUGAUACAUGUGAGGUUCCAAUACCGUCACAUCCAGCUGAGCAAGAUAGCAAGUGCCUUGAGCAUGAGAUACCUCAGAUUGAAGAAGAUGAACUAGAAUACAAGGAACAAGAUGAUCAAGAGCUGCAAUUCCCAAGUGAUCAAGUUGAAGACUCGUCAUCUACUACUCCCGAAGAAGUACAAGAAGCUGCUGUAGAUGAAGAUGAAGAACCUGAGAUUCAUUGGCCUAUUGUCAUACAUGAGCAUGAUGUGUCAGGUUUACCCAAUCCUCUUGAUGACAUGCUGCCUUGUGAUUUCUUUGCUUCUGCCUUGCAUUGCAUGAUGCCAUCUGUUAAAGUAGACUUGAAAAACUAUUUGCUUGGACAUGAUCAUACACACCCUGUUAGUGGCAUUGCUCAUAUCUCUGUUCAUGAUACUUAUGUUCCUAAUGCUAUACCCAUGCUUAAUGAAACGUGUGAUUCUAAUACUAGCAUUGAGCUUAUUGAUUGGUACCAUCCUAAACAUGUGCUUUAUAGCUAUGCUUAUGUAAUUGGAUAUUCGAUUGAUGACUUGGAGGGUAUUAUCCCUACCACUUGCAUUGUCUCUUUCGUUGAGUGCUCUUUCAGGUUCUUGCUUGUGCACGAAUCACUACAUGCUGACCAAGUUUGAGAUGACAUUCCCUGGGACCCCGGUGGAACCAUGGCAUGGGGAUGAGGAGAAGCAAGGAGCACACAUGAAGAGAGAAGCUGGAGCAGGCAUGAGGAUAGGGAAGCAAAAGGAGAGGAGUCACAAUGCACGAGGAAGCAAAGGAGAAGAGUUGCAGUUUAUAGUGUGUCGAGCGAGUGCUACUUCCUAUAAAAACUCGGUGAGCUGUUUCAUGACCCAUUCCGAGUAUAUCAUCCAUUAUACAUGCUGUAAUCAACUGCUAUUUGGGUCGCUUGAGCAAUUUCUUAAAUAUCCUCCCACUGAAUUUUACCUUCGACAUAGGGUGAUUGAUGUGAAUAUGUGAACUGAGUGUUGAAUGCCUUGUAAACUUGUGAUCUACAGAAUGCUUGCUUUGCUGAAAUUAGUGAAAGCUAUUAGUUUUGAGUGCUCAAAUCCCUAGUACACUAGAAAACUUAAUCAUUUUCUGCUUUUACCUCAAUACACUUAGAUCAUUAAGUGUCAGAUGCUGAGUUUGUGCCUAAUGUGUUCCCAUUGAGAGCAAUCACCUAACCACUAUGGAUUAGCAUGCUUUGUUCCCUGGAUCGGUAGCAUGUGAACCAGACAUGGAGAAGUGAUGAUUCCUAUUUUUGUGUUUAUGUGUUGUUCAUUUAAGAUAAGUAAUAAUGAAUAAAUAAGUCUGACUACCUACAGUAGCAUGUCAUGUUCCCGGGAUCGGUGGCAUGUGAAAUUGGGUUAGCUUGGGCAGUAAUUAAUAAUAAAAAAUGUAAGUGUCGAACCAAGUGUAUACCAUGUUCUCGGGAUCGGUGGUAUGUUCCUUUGGGGAGAAAACAAAAAAACUAAUAAUUGGUCGAUCCAGGUGUAUACCAUGUUCUCGGGAUCGGUGGUAUGUUCCUUUGGUGAGAUCGAUAAAAUAUUAUCAUUGCUUUACUUCUGUAAAUAAGUGAACUGAUCACAAGUUUAUGUUCUUUUUUGUGCUCUAGAUCAUGCUCUCUUUAGGAACCUUUGGCACAAUCAUCAUUUGAACUUGUUGAUCCACUUUUAUCAUUGUAAAAGUUUAAAAUGAUUGAGUCUACUAGUAUCCUAUUGCUUUGUAGCACUCUUGACCAUUGAUUUGCACUAGCUAAGUCCAAAGCAUGCAUUGUUUAGAGAUCUACUUCACUUGGCAUUCUCUAGUCAGCUCACUAUUCACUAUCUUGCUCUUGUCAUAUGCCUUUACUUGAGGACAAGUAAAGAUUUAAGUGUGGGGGAACUUGAUAAGUGCAUUUCAUAUAUAUAAUUUGGCACUCAAAUUUAGCAUCUAUCGUGAUAUAUCCAUCCAUUCUUGCUAUGACUUGUGAUAUAUUUGAAUGAAAAUCAUAUAAAAGAUCAUUUACUCGUUACUUGUUUUUUUUUGCAGAAAAGUGCGACGAGGCACUAUAAUCGUAAAGAGUCCAUCCAUAUGGCUAUUGAGAAGAGAGAAGGGCAGGAAAGAAGUGAAGAAAGGGACAUGAGCAUCAAAGAAAGAAGAAAUCGGGGGCCAAAACUUAAGAUGGAGGGGAUCUACUUGGGAAGAAAGAAGGAAAUGAGAAGGGCCAAAUCAGAAAAGUGGAAGACUAGAGGCGGGGUCAAAAUCCCUAGCAACAGCCCUGAUCCCCUUUGGGCCUGGCCACAUCUCUCUCUCCCUCACCCCUCCUUCUCCACCUUCGGCCGCUGCCACAGCCAGGCUGGCGUGGGGCGCACCACCAGCUCCACCAGCGCCAUCCCUCCACUUCGCCGUCGCACAUCACCAGCACCACCAUCCAUCUCCACCUCGCGGCUUCACCACCGCGCCUCGCGCGUCCUCUCCCUCCAGCCGGCACGCCUCUCCCUCCUGCUUCCCCAACUUCUUCCCCUUGCUGUUCCUCUUCCUCUUGCCUUGCGACCCCUUGGUGCUGAUCUUCUCCACUUACUACUGCUCUACUUCCUCUGCCUCCUUGCUUCUUCUCUGAACCCCGACCGCUGCUGCUUCUUCUCUCUUCCUUGCUGCUGCACCAUCUCUCUCUUCUUCCCCCAAACUCUGCUGCUGCCUCUUCUUUUCCUCUACUGAACUGCCGCUGCUUCUCUCUCUUGCUGCACCUUCUCCCCAGCGCCCUCUUGCUGCUCCUCACUUGCUGAAGUUCUACUCCGAACCUCUUCCUCUUGUGUGUGUGUAAUUUUGUGAACUGUUAGUGUUGAGACUUGAUCAACUAUAUUUUGUACUAGUGCAAUAUUUGUGCCCUGUUCGUCAGUUAUUAGUUGGUAAAACUUCAGAUCACUUGAGAAUUAUGUGUUGAACUUGAAGGAUGGUUGAUAGCUCCAAUACAUGUGAUUUUUAUAUUGUCUCAAUUUCUUGUGGUAAAUGUGCUUGUGAUGUGAAACAUCUCUAUUCUGUAGUAUAAUCUUGUUUCUUCUCUGUUAACUAGUAAUCACUAGCUCUUGUGUACUGCUUGUUGCAGAUUCUUUUUCCUUUCUUUGUCCAUGUGUUAGCUCAUGCAUCUGUGCUAUAUAAAUACAUGUGUGUUUUGUGACGUAAACCAUGUCAGCUAGUUCACUGAAACAAAUUCAUGUUACUACUUGUGAUUUUAUUUUCUGUUGAGAUUGAUCUUUGUGAAGUCAGAUGUGUGAUUGUGUUUUAUCUCUAGUUAAU